rnacentral:lncRNA from 1 species
GCGUGAUAAAAUGUGUCAGAGUAGCCCACGGAAGGAUAACUCACUACAGUUAAAAGCAAGAUCGAUGAGACACGAAGCGUGGCUUGAACCCAAAGGUCCUGUUCCGGUGUUAGGUUCGAUUUGUUCCAACAUUGCCAACCCAUGGGGACAGUUACACUUGUCAGUUGCUUCGAUGUGACAUCAUUACGUCAGAAUUAGAUGUGUAUUGGAUGCUAGGGAGAGAUGAGGUUAAGGGGAAUAUGUUACCAUUACCACCACGCAUACUGGAUACUUUCACUGUGAUUGUUUGGGCACAGAGAAAAAACUUAGUGUCAGAACCAGACGACUAGACUACGACAGAGAAACUUCAGAAUAAGAGUUGGACUGCUCACAGCUGACCUGGAUGCGUAUGCGUUAAGAAAUUCGAUGAUUUGCGCAAAAUCCCAUUCGCCUACGAUAACUAUGCAAAGUAGUAGGUCGAAUUAUAAAUUAUUGUAUGUCAAUGACAACAAUUUUCUGCGAUAUUAGCUUAAUUAAGAGUUCCAGACAGUUGGCAUGUACAUGUAAGUAAUUUACUUUUCUCUGUGUUUGCUUUGGAUACAAGCGUCUACCAAAUGAUUAAAUGCGUGGCGCAUCAAUUGGAUUCUGAAAUUCGGAGUUGUAGAUUCGGCUCACAGCAACUUAAACGUUAAGGGAUUCGUUUCAGAAGUAGCUACUUUGAAGAGGUUUAAGUGACACUAAGGCCACCGCGUGCUUUGAUUGCACUGGAGGAAGAAGAAAAAGAGGAAAAGAAGUAGUGAUGGAGAAGUACUUCACACCAGUUCAAAAAAACUCUCAGGACGACGUAAAACUCGGGAAACAUCAUCACCACGGUGCCCAUCAUCACCACGAUCAUCAUCACCGGUCACAUGGAAAGACACCUCACAGUGUUCCAGGAUCUCAUCAGAGAGGCCCUAUUGACAGCCGUGUUCAUCGCCGAGAACAUCACCAUGACCACAGUUUCCAUGGGUACCAUCACAUAGACAACCAAAAAGCUGCUGAUCCUCACACCCUGUCCAGGUCCUCUUCUUCAUCCACCCUGUCCACUUCCUCCUCCUCGUCUUCGUCCUGGUCCUCAGAACCAAGUUUGGACAAUGAGGCCUACUUGAUGAACAAGCCCCAGCACUCCCUCUCCUGCUCCAACAUAGCUGAACCUAGACGCAAGUCUCGUGACUGGGACUCUGAAGACGUGGAGUAUAAGUUGAGAUCCGCAACACCAUUUCAGCAGCGUUCACCACACCACCAGUCUCACAAUCAGCACAGCCACCCACAUUCCCAGAGCCAACACUCUCGCCAGCACCCUCAUGGCUCAGAGCAUGGCCCCAGGUUCUCCAAGCUUCAUCGCGGUCAAAGCAAGAGUGAGGAAGGGCUCCUCCAGGGCAUCGACAGCGAUGGUGAACAGGAUGGAUGGGACCGACACCCCCAUAUGGAGCACGGGAACCUGUACAAGACCGCAAGCCUGGGACGGAGCCUGGCUUUCAGCGAUGAUGCUAAGGUUGGAGCCAGAGUGCCACCCAAAAAGGCAGUGUCCACCAUCCAGCUGCCAAGCAAAGGCAUUCUUAAAAAUAAGGAUGGUGGGUCAGCAGCCAGACAACAGGCAAACUUUCGCAAGGCCAAAUCGAUGGAGGUUCUGUCUCACCGGGAGCAAGCAGCAAAACCAGGUGGUGUGGGGACUUUAGCCACCCCAAAACCAAAUGAUCCACAAGCUAUGAAGAAUAAUUUUGUUAAAACUAAGCUUCAGUUCUCCGCAUUUUUAGAUGAAAUAACGCGUCAAGUUAUAAGCCCUUCCAGUCUCAAUAUACUCGGAGUCGCCCCUGGCUCCAGUCCAGCAUCACCAAGAUCUCCUCAUCAGGAGCGUAAGGAGCCUCCUGGAGGUGUGAAGAAGGAAGAGGAUGAGGGAACACAGCAACCUAAGCAGCACUCUGCAAAGACUGUAAAUCAGAGUCCAGCAAAGUCUGGUGCUGUUUCACAGCCACAGUCACAUUCACGCCGUGACUCCUAUCCAGGCAAGCAGCACCCUAAUCCCGGGAGCCCCACCAGGUCUGCAGGCCACCACCAGCAUGGUAGCCACAAAAAACGCUAUUCUAUAGGGGAAGUACAGGGUGCCGCAGGGGACAAACAGCACCAGGGGAGGUACAAUCAAAUGGCCACUGAUGGCACUAGCACUAGCUCAGAGACCAUCCUGCAAGAGUCCAAACAUCAUCGCUCAAAGCAGCAUGGCAAUGGACGCCGCAGCAGCAGUCACAGCCAAUCACAGCAUCCUCAUGGAGACCACAGGGGUUCCCCACCUCCGCCAGGUCACAUCCUGGGACCUGACUACGAGUCUCCCUCCAGCAAGUCCUCCACUGCCAGUCAGAGUUCUGGUCAUGGCGACAUGCAUACGCACCCUGACCACAGGAACCAUGGCGACAUGCAUACGCACCCUGACCACAGGAACCAUGGCGACAUGCAUACGCACCCUGACCACAGGAGACAUUCCAAAUCUCAUCGGGAUUCAGUGAGCUCUGUCAACAGAGUUCAGCUGCUUGAACAAUACAACAAAGAGCUACAUGAGAACCUGCUACAGACUGUGGCAUGUAUAGAGAAUAUGGAGACCGAGCUUCAGUGCUCCAGGUCGGAGCUCGGAGCCUUCAAAGAGAAGUACAAAAGACUACAGGAGAGUUAUGCAAACCUCCAACAUUCCAGCAGUGCUCUGGAGCUGAAGCUAGAGUCAGCUACGGAGAAUAUGAACUCAGAGAGGAAGUACCUCUUGCAGAGGAUUCUAGAACAGACCAAACGGCUGGACACAGCAGAAAAUACCAUCAGCUCACUGGAGAACAUCAAUGUUCCCGCUUUGAUCAAGGAGCUCUUACAAAAGCACUUCAAAUCUGAGGAGGGGGUUAGGAAUUUCCUGCUCUCUACAACUAUGAAGGACGGCAAGGACAACCAAUCAGUUUUGGCAACAGUGGAGGUAGCAUCGACUGAUUGGCCCCAGUCUGGGCAGGGCAGCGCAGAGUCCGGGCCAGUCAGGAUGACAGCCUUUAUGCCAUGGCAACAGGGCCAGAAUGAGUGGUCAGGAGAGGAGGCGAGGGCUUGUGUAACUAGACGGGACAUGGAGGCUGCUGGAAGCAUUUCACAGCUCCCUUUCACUGUUGCUGAUAUCAGCAUGGCCCUGUUUAAAAACGUGGCAGAUGCUCAGGCCAAAGGCCACGAGCACCAGCAUCCAACAGCUGUCCACCCAGAGUUUCACUCCUUGGGUCUAUCCACCCAGAAGCCCAUGGAGGUGCCCCCGAACCCUUAUGAGGGGAUGGGCACAGGCAGAGGGAUGGGAGCUGGAGGAAGUGCAGGUGGAGGUGAGCCCGGGGAUGAUUUCACCUCUCUUACAGCACAAAGGAUUUUGGACAAUUUCAUGAGACAGAUGCCUCCUUCCUCCACCACCGAAGACCAAGAAGAGAGAGACAGUGGUGCUGUGGACUGGGGAGGGCAACCAACAGGGCAGCAUUAA